rnacentral:piRNA from 1 species
UCACCGAUGAUGCUGAGCGCCUCCUUCAGCGC